rnacentral:rRNA from 2 species
AAGGUUUCCGUAGGUGAACCUGCGGAAGGAUCAUUAUUGAAUGAAUUUGGUGUGGUUGUCGCUGGCCCUCUUGGGGGUAUGUGCACACCUACCAUCCUCAUCUCUCCACCUGUGCACCUCUUGUAGAUUUGGAAUUGAUUAUCCGAGGCAACUCGGUCGUGAGGACUGCUAGCACUUAGCUGGCUUUCUUUGCAAUUCCAAGUCUAUGUUUUUCAUAUACCCCAUUGUAUGUAACAGAAUGUAUCAUUGGGCCCUUGUGCCUAUAAACCUUAUACAACUUUCAGCAACGGAUCUCUUGGCUCUCGCAUCGAUGAAGAACGCAGCGAAAUGCGAUAAGUAAUGUGAAUUGCAGAAUUCAGUGAAUCAUCGAAUCUUUGAACGCACCUUGCGCUCCUUGGUAUUCCGAGGAGCAUGCCUGUUUGAGUGUCAUUAAAUUCUCAACCAUUAUCAACUUUUGCUGAUAAUGGCUUGGAUGUGGGGGUCUAUUUUGCUGGCUUCUCAGAUAGUCAGCUCCCCUUAAAUGCAUUAGCCGGUGCCCCGCGUGGACUGUCUAUUGGUGUGAUAAUUAUCUACGCUAUAGACAUCUGCAAUCAUAUGGGUUUGCGCUGCUUCUAACAGUCUGUUGAUUCAGACAAUACAUGACAAUUUGACCUCAAAUCAGGUAGGACUACCCGCUGAACUUAA